rnacentral:rRNA from 1 species
AUUGAACGCUGGCGGCAGGCCUAACACAUGCAAGUCGAGCGGCAGCGGGAAAGUAGCUUGCUACUUUUGCCGGCGAGCGGCGGACGGGUGAGUAACGCCUGGGAAAUUGCCCAGUCGAGGGGGAUAACAGUUGGAAACGACUGCUAAUACCGCAUACGCCCUACGGGGGAAAGCAGGGGACCUUCGGGCCUUGCGCGAUUGGAUAUGCCCAGGUGGGAUUAGCUAGUUGGUGAGGUAAUGGCUCACCAAGGCGACGAUCCCUAGCUGGUCUGAGCGGAUGAUCACGCACACAUGGACUGGGAGGCGGUCCAGACUCCUACGGGAGGCAGCGAUGGGGAAAAGUACACAAUGGGGGAAACCCUCAUGCAUCCAAGCCGCGGGUGUGAAGAAGGCCUUCGGGUUGUAAAGCACUUUCAGCGAGGAGGAAAGGUUGAUGCCCAAUACGUAUCAACUGUUGCGUUACUCGCAGAAGAAGCACCGGCUAACUCCGUGCCAGCAGCCGCAGUAA